rnacentral:rRNA from 1 species
GAGCGGUAACAGGAGAAGCUUGCUUCUCGCUGACGAGCGGCGGACGGGUGAGUAAUACUUAGGAAUCUACCUAGUAGUGGGGGAUAGCUCGGGGAAACUCGAAUUAAUACCGCAUACGACCUACGGGAGAAAGGGGGCAACUUGUUGCUCUCGCUAUUAGAUGAGCCUAAGUCGGAUUAGCUAGAUGGUGGGGUAAAGGCCUACCAUGGCGACGAUCUGUAGCUGGUCUGAGAGGAUGAUCAGCCACACCGGGACUGAGACACGGCCCGGACUCCUACGGGAGGCAGCAGUGGGGAAUAUUGGACAAUGGGGGCAACCCUGAUCCAGCCAUGCCGCGUGUGUGAAGAAGGCCUUUUGGUUGUAAAGCACUUUAAGCAGUGAAGAAGACUCCAUGGUUAAUACCCAUGGACGAUGACAUUAGCUGCAGAAUAAGCACCGGCUAACUCUGUGCCAGCAGCCGCGGUAAUACAGAGGGUGCAAGCGUUAAUCGGAAUUACUGGGCGUAAAGCGAGCGUAGGUGGCUUGAUAAGUCAGAUGUGAAAGCCCCCGGGCUUAACCUGGGAACGGCAUCUGAU